AACGAACGCUGGCGGCAUGCCUAACACAUGCAAGUCGAACGAGACCUUCGGGUCUAGUGGCGCACGGGUGCGUAACGCGUGGGAACCUGCCCUUAGGUUCGGAAUAACUCCCCGAAAGGGGUGCUAAUACCGGAUAAUGUCUUCGGACCAAAGAUUUAUCGCCUUUGGAUGGGCCCGCGUUGGAUUAGCUAGUUGGUAGGGUAAAAGCCUACCAAGGCGACGAUCCAUAGCUGGUCUGAUAGGAUGAUCAGCCACACUGGGACUGAGACACGGCCCAGACUCCUACGGGAGGCAGCAGUGGGGAAUAUUGGACAAUGGGCGAAAGCCUGAUCCAGCAAUGCCGCGUGAGUGAUGAAGGCCUUAGGGUUGUAAAGCUCUUUUACCCGGGAUGAUAAUGACAGUACCGGGAGAAGAAGCUCCGGCUAACUCCGUG
rnacentral:rRNA from 1 species